UUUUUUCUACUCAUAAUUGAAUGGGUUCUUUAAAGAUAUUAUCAGUUAACUGUCAAGGUCUAGGUGACAUUGAAAAGAGAAGAGAUGUAUUUAAUUUCCUUAAGUCUAAAACAUGCAACAUCUAUUGUAUUCAAGAUACACAUUUCACAAAUGAAAUUGAAAUGAAUAUUAAGACCAUGUGGGGCUAUGAGUGUUAUUUUUCAUCUUUCUCCUCAAACUCUAGAGGAGUUGCUAUAAUGUUUAAUAAUAAUUUUGAAUUUAGAGUAUUAAAAGAGAAGAAAGAUGUAAAUGGUAAUUAUCUAGCAUUAGAUAUUGUUAUAGAUAAGGAGAGGGUAACACUUCUAUCAUUGUAUGGUCCUAAUGCAGAUAAUCCUAAUUUUUACCAUCUUAUUAUGUGUAUUAUAGAAGAUUUUGGAAAUGAAAACUUUAUAAUAUGUGGUGAUUUUAAUCUUGUAUUGAAUCCUCAUAUAGACUAUUGUAACUAUUUACAUAUUAAUAACCCUAGUGCUAGAGAUAAAAUUUUAGAAAUCAUAGAUCAAUGGAACCUUAUAGAUCCUUUUAGGGAACUUUUCCCAGACUUGCGUAGAUAUACAUGGAGAAAAAAGAAGCCCUUUAAACAGGCUAGGUUGGAUUUUUUUCUUUUUACAGAUAAUAUGUUAACAAAUUUACUAAAUUGUAAAAU
rnacentral:lncRNA from 1 species